rnacentral:rRNA from 1 species
AUUGAACGCUGGCGGCAUGCUUUACACAUGCAAGUCGAACGGCAGCGCGGGCCUCGGCCUGGCGGCGAGUGGCGAACGGGGGUGUAAUGCAUCGGAACGUGCCCAGCAGUGGGGGAUAGUACGGCGAAAGCAGGAGUAAUAACGCAUACGACGUGCGGGUGAAGGCGGGGGAGGGAAAGGACUCGCGGUAUUGGAGCGGCCGACGUCGGGGUAGCUAGUUGGUGGGGUAAAGGCUUACCAAGGCGACGAUCCGUAGCUGGUCUGAGAGGGCGAGCGGCCACACUGGGACUGAGACACGGCCCAGACUCCUACGGGAGGCAGCAGUGGGGAAUUUUGGACAACGGGGGCAACCCUUAUCCAGCCAUGCCGCGUGCGGGAAGAAGGCCUUCGGGUUGUAAACCGCUUUUUUUCGGUAAGAAAUCCUCUGGGCUAAUACCCCGGGUGGAUGACGGUACCGGAUGAAUAAGCACCGGCUAACUACGUG